rnacentral:rRNA from 1 species
GACGAACGCUGGCGGCGUGCUUAACACAUGCAAGUCGAACGGAAAGGCCCUGCUUUUGUGGGGUGCUCGAGUGGCGAACGAGUGAGUAACACGUGAGUAACCUGCCCUUGACUUUGGGAUAACUUCAGGAAACUGGGGCUAAUACCGGAUAGGAGCUCCUGCUGCAUGGUGGGGGUUGGAAAGUUUCGGCGGUUGGGGAUGGACUCGCGGCUUAUCAGCUUGUUGGUGGGGUAGUGGCUUACCAAGGCUUUGACGGGUAGCCGGCCUGAGAGGGUGACCGGCCACAUUGGGACUGAGAUACGGCCCAGACUCCUACGGGAGGCAGCAGUGGGGAAUAUUGCACAAUGGGCGGAAGCCUGAUGCAGCAACGCCGCGUGCGGGAUGACGGUCUUCGGGUUGUAAACCGCUUUCGCCUGUGACGAAGCGUGAGUGACGGUAAUGGGUAAAGAAGCACCGGCUAACUACGUGCCAGCAGCCGCGGUGAUACGUAGGGUGCGAGCGUUGUCCGGAUUUAUUGGGCGUAAAGGGCUCGUAGGUGGUUGAUCGCGUCGGAAGUGUAAUCUUGGGGCUUAACCCUGAGCGUGCUUUCGAUACGGGUUGACUUGAGGAAGGUAGGGGAGAAUGGAAUUCCUGGUGGAGCGGUGGAAUGCGCAGAUAUCAGGAGGAACACCAGUGGCGAAGGCGGUUCUCUGGGCCUUUCCUGACGCUGAGGAGCGAAAGCGUGGGGAGCGAACAGGCUUAGAUACCCUGGUAGUCCACGCUGUAAACGGUGGGUACUAGGUGUGGGGUCCAUUCCACGGGUUCCGUGCCGUAGCUAACGCUUUAAGUACCCCGCCUGGGGAGUACGGCCGCAAGGCUAAAACUCAAAGGAAUUGACGGGGCCCCGCACAAGCGGCGGAGCAUGCGGAUUAAUUCGAUGCAACGCGUAGAACCUUACCUGGGUUUGACAUGGAUCGGGAGUGCUCAGAGAUGGGUGUGCCUCUUUUGGGGUCGGUUCACAGGUGGUGCAUGCCUGUCGUCAGCUCGUGUCGUGAGAUGUUGGGUUAAGUCCCGCAACGAGCGCAACCCUUGUUCACUGUUGCCAGCACGUUAUGGUGGGGACUCAGUGGAGACCGCCGGGGUCAACUCGGAGGAAGGUGGGGAUGACGUCAAGUCCUCAUGCCCCUUAUGUCCAGGGCUUCACGCAUGCUACAAUGGCUGGUACAGAGAGUGGCGAGCCUGUGAGGGUGAGCGAAUCUCGGAAAGCCGGUCUCAGUUCGGAUUGGGGUCUGCAACUCGACCUCAUGAAGUCGGAGUCGCUAGUAAUCGCAGAUCAGCAACGCUGCGGUGAAUACGUUCCCGGGGCU